rnacentral:rRNA from 1 species
GAUGAACGCUGGCGGCGUGCCUAAUACAUGCAAGUCGAGCGAAGCGGGGACGGGUGAGUAACACGUAGAUAACCUCCUCUAAGACUGGGAUAACUUCGGGAAACCGGAGCUAAACCGGAUACUUACAGAUGGAUCCGGGCUGCAUUAGCUAGUUGGUAAGUUAACGUCUUACCAAGGCAACGAGGCAUAGCCGACCUGAGAGGUUGAUGGGCCACUCGUGAACUAAGACGCGGGCCAGACUCCGACGGGAGGCAGCAGUAGGGAAUCUUCCGCAAUGGGCGAAAGCCUGACGGGGCAACGCCGCGUGUGUGAUGAAGGGCUUCGGAUCGUAAAGCUCUGUUAUUAGGGAAGCGGUACCUAAUCAGAAAGCCACGGCUAACUCCGUGCCAGCAGCCGCGGUAAUAC